rnacentral:lncRNA from 1 species
CUCUCGGAUUGUUGUACUAUAUCAGUAGAUUGUUAAGGCAGGAUUUAAAGUGUAUUGGGAUACAAUUUGUCUCAGUUAUAAAAAAAAAAGCCCAAAAGGCCAUCUAUGAAGGUGAGAGGGAGAAUGCUCUAUUAUUCUUUAAUACUGACAUCAUUGUCUUUUCCUUCUUUCUUACUUUUCACUAAAAAAAUCCUAUGUGACUUAAGCAUCAGAGGGCCUGGCUGAAGCUAAGCUGGCGAGUCCUUUCAUCUUUGCCUAUUGUCUUGCAGGUGAUCUGCAUGGGCAUCCUGGGAUCAAUAGAAAUAGAUUGGCGCCAUUUGUGGGAAAGAAGGGACAACAGCCAUGAGACUUAGGUGGAUCAAUAGUCGAGCAUCCGUCCGACCUACUCCAGCAGCUCCCCAUGUAGCCCUUUGAGAUCUUAGUCUUCCUAGAUGGCGGCGAGAGUUGACAAUGCAAGACGGUUCUAUUAGCCUAGAUGCACAAAUAUAACUGAUAAAUAAAAUAUUUCUAAUAUUCAAAAACAAUAAAUAAGAAGAAUAAACUAGCAAAUAAUUAACUUGACAAUAUAAUAAUAAAAUAAAGUUUAUAAACUAGCACAAAUAGAGAGAGAAGAUAGCCUGUGGAUCGAAGCACGCUGAUGCGCUGUCCCAGAAAAGUUUAUGCCCCCCAUGCACGGGUCUGCUGGCACAGAUCUUCUAGAGAUACGACGAUCCAAUACAGAACCACGUCUUCUCCAUCAGUGCGCCUCCAGGGAAGAAAGAAGAGCACGUUCACGCUUGCAGAUAGCUCAAAAGAAACUUAGAAAAAUUAUGAGAAGAAGAAAAAAAAAUUUUAUUUCUUUUCUUCCCAAUGAUCCCUAGAGCCCUUUUUAUCUAGACUCUUGGAAUAAGGAGAAGAGAAAUUUUUUUGAUUGUGUUUGAAAUGAUCCCUAGAGCCCUUUAUAUAGGCUCAGGCUCGUCAAAAGAAGAAGAUUCCCCUCCCGCAGAUUGAUGACGUGUCUUCUUGUGCUCCUUUGAUUCUUCAGCUUAUUGCAUUUUGGCCGUUCAUGCUUCCUUCCUUCUUCGAGGGGCCUUUCCAUGCUUGCUCUUGCGUUGGAUACCUGACACUUGUCAUGAUUUGCUUUCUUUGGAAAUUUUUCCAUAUUUGCUCCCUUGCUUGUGCACGGAUGCUUGCCACUUGGCCGUUGACUAAUUUAGUUUUCAAAAUUUUAAUUUAAUUC